rnacentral:miRNA from 1 species
UUUGUUUGCUGUGUGUCGGAGU